UACGAAGGGGGCUAGCGUUGCUCGGAAUCACUGGGCGUAAAGCGCACGUAGGCGGACUCUUAAGUCAGGGGUGAAAUCCUGGAGCUCAACUCCAGAACUGCCUUUGAUACUGAAGAUCUUGAGUUCGGGAGAGGUGAGUGGAACUGCGAGUGUAGAGGUGAAAUUCGUAGAUAUUCGCAAGAACACCAGUGGCGAAGGCGGCUCACUGGCCCGAUACUGACGCUGAGGCACGAAAGCGCGGGGAGCAA
rnacentral:rRNA from 1 species